rnacentral:lncRNA from 10 species
GUCACAGAGCAGGAUGAGAAUGGAACCGGGAGACAGGAACAAAGCAGAGACCCUGAAGCCUGGUCUGUGGGCAGAAAAGCCUCUAGAGGCCCGACUAUCAAAGGGACAUGAUGCCUUUAAGGAGGAUGAAGUCAUCGGGGGAUGAGGCCACCUGGCUCUGCAGCCAGGGCUGCUGCCGAAAAGGAGGAGCAGAAGGUGGAAGGUGCUUUGGGCACCAUACUUGCCCCACCAUAGUGCUGGUCCUGAUCCAACUUAGAAGGUACCUGAAGUGACAGCCCACUGAGACUGCAUCAGGUGGCAGCUGGUGCCUCCCCAAAGGAUGACUGGCGACUGUUAGCAGAAGGAGCAGAAUGGAUGCCAGACAGGUGAAAUACAGGUGCCCACACCCUGAGGCUUUAGUGUAGAGUAGCUAAUAACAUGACUCUGGAGUUGGAUGAAUCUGGAUUAAAUCCAGGGUCUCUUCUCAAUAGUUACUUGAUUUGGACAAAUCAGCUUCCUUCUCUGAACCUCAGUGUGUUUAUCUACAAAACAGUACUAACAACAGUAGCAUAUGUUGAUCUCUGUCUUCUGGAUCUUCAUUCCUUACCCUUGUCCUUACAUCAGUGUGCCCCAAACUUCCCACUAAGGGCACUUAAUUGCAAAAGAGAGUGGGCUUGGUUUUCUGGGGGCUGGGAAUGGAGCCUAAAACCACAGACAGCAGUCACAGCAUUUCCUUUGACAUGCACAUAAGCCAUACAGC